GCCCAUCCCCGGUUGUCCCACUUUUGUUCGCCUCUCUUCGGCCCUCUACUCAAGAGCUCCGUCUCCGUCUCGCCCUCCUCGAAGUCCUCGUCGCGCGCCCGCGACCCAGGUCGCCCUGAAAUCUAGCCCGUCCGAGCGCGAGUCCAACGGCCGCGGCCGCACCAAGGCCCCCUCAGACCGUGCCAUGGGUGACAGUGAUGACGAGUACGAUCGAAGGCGCAGGGACAAGUUCAGAAGAGAGCGCAGCGACUACGACCGUUCCCGCGAGAGAGAUGAAAGACGUCGAGGGGACGAUUGGAAUGACAGAGACAGGGUCUCCCUCUGUCACCCGGGCUGAGUGCACUGGUGCAGUCGAAGCUUGCUGCAGCCGCGACCUGCCCAGAGUGGGACCGUGGCCGUGAGCGCCGUAGUCGGGGUGAAUAUCGGGACUAUGACCGGAAUCGGCGAGAGCGCUUCUCGCCACCUCGCCACGAACUCAGCCCGCCACAGAAGCGCAUGAGGAGAGACUGGGAUGAGCACAGCUCUGACCCAUACCACAGUGGCUAUGAGAUGCCCU
rnacentral:lncRNA from 1 species